rnacentral:lncRNA from 1 species
UGUGCAUAGAAGAGUUGAGUUUCUGCCAUUAUGGGAGAAACCAGGUUCGGCAGCCGAAGGAACUUUCGGCCGCCGAACAUGCUUGUGGAAGCAGCCUUCGGCUGCCGAAGCUUGCCCCCGAAAGGAGACUUUCGUCUCUGUCUGGGAGUUUCGGCCGCCGAAAGUGCCGCCGAACAUGCAUGAGUUUCGCCUCUGUCUGGGAGUUUCG